rnacentral:rRNA from 1 species
CAGCAGCCGCGGUAACACGGAGGGUGCAAGCGUUAAUCGGAAUUACUGGGCGUAAAGCGCACGCAGGCGGUCUGACAAGUCAGAUGUGAAAUCCCCGGGCUUAACCUGGGAACUGCAUUUGAAACUGUCAGGCUGGAGUCUUGUAGAGGGGGGUGGAAUUCCAGGUGUAGCGGUGAAAUGCGUAGAGAUCUGGAGGAAUACCGGUGGCGAAGGCGGCCCCCUGGACAAAGACUGACGCUCAGGUGCGAAAGCGUGGGGAGCAAACAGGAUUAGAUACCCGUGUAGUCCCUGUCUCUUAUAC